GAAUCAACUAAUCUGAAAAAGAAAGGACGAUGUUUUCUUCUCCUAAGACAAGUGCUUGUUCUUUGGUGCUGCCAAUUAUUUUGGCAGCGCUAGUACUAGUGCACCAAUCUAAUGCUCAAUUAAGUGCUACGUUCUAUGCUACCACAUGCACUAAUGUGUCUGCCAUUGUUACUAGUGUUAUUCAACAGGCCCUUCAAUCCGAUUCUCGGAUCGGCGCAAGUCUUAUUCGCCUUCAUUUUCAUGAUUGCUUUGUUAAUGGAUGCGAUGCUUCACUUUUGCUAGACAGUACUUCAAGCAUACUGAGUGAGAAAUUUGCCGCUCCAAACGUUAACUCUGCUCGGGGUUUUGAUGUCGUUGACAAUAUCAAAACUGCUGUGGAAAAUUCUUGCCCUGGUGUUGUCUCCUGUGCGGAUAUUCUUGCACUCGCAGCUGAAGCUUCUGUUUCUUUGUCAGGAGGACCAUCCUGGAAUGUACUGUUGGGAAGAAGGGAUAGUCUCACAGCAAAUCAGGC
rnacentral:misc_RNA from 1 species